rnacentral:rRNA from 1 species
GAUGAACGCUGGCGGCGUGCCUAAUACAUGCAAGUCGAGCGAACGGACGAGAAGCUUGCUUCUCUGAUGUUAGCGGCGGACGGGUGAGUAACACGUGGAUAACCUACCUAUAAGACUGGGAUAAAUUCGGGAAACCGGAGCUAAUACCGGAUAAUAUUUUGAAACGAAUGGUUCAAAAGUGAAAGACGGUCUUGCUGUCACUUAUAGAUGGAUCCGCGCUGCAUUAGCUAGUUGGUAAGGUAACGGCUUACCAAGGCAACGAUGCAUAGCCGACCUGAGAGGGUGAUCGGCCACACUGGAACUGAGACACGGUCCAGACUCCUACGGGAGGCAGCAGUAGGGAAUCUUCCGCAAUGGGCGAAAGCCUGACGGAGCAACGCCGCGUGAGUGAUGAAGGUCUUCUGAUCGUAAAACUCUGUUAUUAGGGAAGAACAUAUGUGUAAGUAACUGUGCACAUCUUGACGGUACCUAAUCAGAAAGCCACGGCUAACUACGUG